rnacentral:rRNA from 1 species
AUGAUCCAUCCAAAGAAGCUUGCUCAGCUGGCCAAGAAGUGCCAGCGGAUGUUGGCAGCCGGGACCGGUGCUCGCCACCGGCAGCAUGCCUCAGACAUGGUCGAUGAUGAUUGCUGCAGCACAGCGUCAUCUGUGGUUGCCGAUGAGGGCCACUGCAUGGUGUACAGCACCGACGGAGCACGGUUUGAGGUCCCUCUGGCGUACCUCGGGACGACGGUCUUCGCCAAGCUCCUGAGGAUGUCUGAGGAGGAGUUUGGGUUCGCAAGCGGCAGCGAUGGAGGCAGGAUCACGCUGCCCUGUGACACCAUGGUGAUGGAGUACGUCUUGUGCCUUAUCAGGAGAGAGACCUCUGAGGAGGUUGAGAGGGCAUUCUUGAGCUCUAUUGCUGAGCAUUGCCACAACUACAGUGCUAGUUGUGUGGCGCCAUCGAUGGGACUCAGCCAUCAAUUUGCUCUUUGUACUUAG